rnacentral:rRNA from 1 species
CCUACGGGAGGCAGCAGUGAGGAAUAUUGGUCAAUGGACGAGAGUCUGAACCAGCCAAGUAGCGUGAAGGAUGACUGCCCUAUGGGUUGUAAACUUCUUUUAUAAAGGAAUAAAACGCGGCACGUGUGCAUUUUUGCAUGUACUUUAUGAAUAAGGAUCGGCUAACUCCGUGCCAGCAGCCGCGGUAAUACGGAGGGUCCGAGCGUUAUCCGGAUUUAUUGGGUUUAAAGGGAGCGUAGAUGGGUUGUUAAGUCAGUUGUGAAAGUUUGCGGCUCAACCGUAAAAUUGCAAUUGAUACUGGCAGUCUUGAGUACAGUUGAGGUAGGCGGAAUUCGUGGUGUAGCGGUGAAAUGCUUAGAUAUCACGAAGAACCCCGAUUGCGAAGGCAGCUUACUAAGCUGUGACUGACAUUGAUGCUCGAAAGUGUGGGUAUCAAACAGGAUUAGAUACCCCGGUAGUC